rnacentral:rRNA from 1 species
GACGAACGCUGGCGGCGUGCUUAACACAUGCAAGUCGAACGGAAAGGCCCUGCUUUUGUGGGGUGCUCGAGUGGCGAACGGGUGAGUAACACGUGAGUAACCUGCCCUUGACUUUGGGAUAACUUCAGGAAACUGGGGCUAAUACCGGAUAGGAGCUCCUGCUGCAUGGUGGGGGUUGGAAAGUUUCGGCGGUUGGGGAUGGACUCGCGGCUUAUCAGCUUGUUGGUGGGGUAGUGGCUUACCAAGGCUUUGACGGGUAGCCGGCCUGAGAGGGUGACCGGCCACAUUGGGACUGAGUUCCGGCCCAGAUUCCUACGGGAGGCAGCGGUGGGGAAUAUUGCACAAUGGGCGGAGGCCGAAUGCAGCAACGCCGCGUGCGGGAUGACGGCCUUCGGGUUGUAAACCGCUUUCGCCUGUGACGAAGCGUGAGUGACGGUAAUGGGUAAAGAAGCACCGGCUAACUACGU